AUUGAACGCUGGCGGAAUGCUUUACACAUGCAAGUCGAACGGCAGCACGGGAGCUUGCUCCUGGUGGCGAGUGGCGAACGGGUGAGUAAUGCAUCGGAACGUGCCCAUGAGUGGGGGAUAACUAUCCGAAAGGAUGGCUAAUACCGCAUAAGCCCUGAGGGGGAAAGCGGGGGAUCGCAAGACAUCGCGCUGAUGGAGCGGCGGAUGUCGGAUUAGCUAGUUGGUGGGGUAAAGGCCUACCAAGGCGACGAUCCAUAGCUGGUGUGAGAGGAUGGUCCGCCACGCUGGGACGAGGACACAGCCCGGACUCCUACUGGAGGCAGCAGUGGGGAAUUUUGGACAGUGGGGGCGACCCUGAUCCAGCCAUUCCGCGUGAGUGAAGAAGGCCUUCGGGUUGGAAAGCUCUUUCGGCAGGAACGAAACGGCGGCCCCUAAUACGGGUUGCUAAUGACGGUACCUGAAGAAGAAGCACCGGCUAACUACGUGCCAGCCGCCGCGGUAACAC
rnacentral:rRNA from 1 species